CCUACGGGAGGCAGCAGUGAGGAAUAUUGGUCAAUGGACGAGAGUCUGAACCAGCCAAGUAGCGUGAAGGAUGACUGCCCUACGGGUUGUAAACCUCUUUUAUAUGGGAACAAAACAGGGGACGCAUACCCCCUUGUAUGUACCAUAUGAAUAAGGAUCGGCUAACUCCGUGCCAGCAGCCGCGGUAAUACGGAGGAUCCGAGCGUUAUCCGGAUUUAUUGGGUUUAAAGGGUGCGUAGGCGGAUUGUUAAGUCAGCUGUGAAAGUUUGCGGCUCAACCGUAGAAUUGCAGUUAAAACUGGCAGUCUUGAGUACGGUAGAGGUAGGCGGAAUUCGUGGUGUAGCGGUGAAAUGCUUAGAUAUCACGAAGAACUCCGAUUGCGAAGGCAGCUCACUGGACUGCAACUGACGCUGAUGCUCGAAAGUGUGGGUAUCGAACAGGAUUAGAUACCCGGGUAGUC
rnacentral:rRNA from 1 species